rnacentral:lncRNA from 1 species
ACACAAAAGGAGAGGGAGAGUAGGAGCGAGCAAGACCGGGAUGGAAAGAAACAUAAACAAAUCAGGCUCAAAAUGAGGCCGCUUUGCAGGGCGAUCAGCCUGUCUGUAUGGCCCUGUCUCCACAUGACCACCUUCAGGUACAGGCACCUUUAUUUUGGCGGUCGUGGGCUGAAAUGAUUGAGAACCACUGGGCUAAGCUAAGGUAAUAUGGCAGCCUUCAUUUUAUGGCUAUAGUGACACAGAUACCUGAG